UACGUAGGGUGCGAGCGUUGUCCGGAAUUAUUGGGCGUAAAGGGCUCGUAGGCGGGCUGUUAAGUCAGUGGUGAAAGCUCCAUGCCUAACAUGGAAAAUGCCAUUGAUACUGACGGUCUUGAGUACAUUUGAAGUGGGCGGAAUGUGUCAUGUAGCGGUGAAAUGCUUAGAUAUGACACAGAACACCGAUUGCGUAGGCAGCUCACUAAACUGUAACUGACGCUGAGGCACGAAAGCGUGGGGAGCAAACAGG
rnacentral:rRNA from 1 species